UCUUCAUUUCACGUGCUCUCUCUCAUCGGUCAGAGUGACGAGAGAGUGUGGGAAAUGAAGAGA
rnacentral:pre_miRNA from 1 species